CCUGAGAAAAUGAGUACCUAUUCCAAAAAGAGACAGCCAGGCCAUCAGUUCCAGUCUUGUUAUUUCCAAAAAGGCCUGAAGCCAGUCUUGCAACGAGGUUCUGGUGGCCAUGCAGUUGGAUACCUGGAACUCUUAGCUCUCUGCAGGAUGCCAGGACACCAAAGGCUGGAAGCCUUAGCCUUGCCUUGUCAGGAAAAACUCUGUGGAGGCUGGUCUGUAUUAAACAGUGGUUACAGGGAGCAGGUCUGUACCAAUUGGAGGACAUGCAGCUGCCAAAUCUUGAAUACAAACCUUAAAACCUCACAAACAUCAAGUCCCAGAGGAGUCUCCAAGUCCUAGAACUUCCAGGACACUGUUGGCUUCAGGAAAACUGGUUCCUUCUGAGCCCAAUGCUAAGGACCCCUGUUCCCCAACUUUGUGAUCUUAAGCAAGCUGCACCUUCAUUUUGCCCAUCGGUCUAAUAGCAAUACAGUCGUGAUGAGAUGGACCUCAGAGGGUGAGAAGUGUUCGACUCUGUCUGGAAUGUAGAAAAUUCUAGAUGUUGGCUACCAAAAUUAUGGCAGCUGUUUAGAAUCC